rnacentral:rRNA from 1 species
UACAGAGGGUGCGAGCGUUAAUCGGAAUUACUGGGCGUAAAGGGUGCGUAGGUGGUUAAUUAAGUUAGGUGUGAAAGUCCUGGGCUUAACCUGGGGAUUGCGCCUGAUACUGAAUAGCUAGAGUACUGUAGAGGGAAGAGGAAUUUCCGGUGUAGCGGUGAAAUGCGUAGAUGUCGGAAGGAACAUCAGUGGCGAAAGCGGCUUCCUGGACCAGCACCGACGUUCAGGCACGAAAGCGUGGGUAGCAAACAGG